UUGGGAUUGAGAUUUCCUCCAUCUCUGAUGGCUUUUUUUAUUUCCCAAGAAAAGUAUAUCCAGGAUCUUCUUGCUCGUGCGGCUCUUAGUGAUGAGCGCACUGUUGAGACUCCUAUGGAGCUUAAUGUUCACCUUCGUGCUACUGAUGGUGAGCCCUUGUCUGAUCCGACUCGUUAUCGUCAUCUUGUUGGGAGUCUUGUCUAUCUCGCUGUCACUCGUCCGGAUAUCUCCUAUCCUGUCCAUAUCCUGAGUCAGUUUGUUUCUUCUCCCACUUCGGUUCACUAUAGUCACCUUCUUCGUGUUCUACGAUAUCUUCGUGGCACGAUCUCUCACCGUCUCUUCUUUCCUCGUUCUAGCUCGUUACAGCUCCAAGCCUAUUCGGAUGCUACCUGGGCUAGUGAUCCUUCGGAUCGUCGUUCACUUUCUGCUUACUGUGUCUUUCUUGGUGGUUCUCUCAUUGCCUGGAAGGCGAAGAAACAGACCGCAGUUUCCCGUUCAAGUGCAGAGGCUGAGUUGCGAGCUAUGGCUCUUCUCACAGCAGAGGUGACUUGGUUACGUUGGUUACUUGAGGAUUUUGGUGUUACU
rnacentral:rRNA from 1 species